rnacentral:rRNA from 1 species
GACGAACGCUGGCGGCGUGCCUAAUACAUGCAAGUAGAACGCAGUUGCGAACGGGUGAGUAACGCGUAGGUAACUGCCUGGUAGCGGGGGAUAACUAUUGGAAACGAUAGCUAAUACCGCAUACUACCAGAUGGACCUGAGUUGUAUUAGCUAGGUGGUGAGGUAACGGCUCACCAAGGCAACGAUACAUCACCGACCUUGGAGGGUGGUUGGCCACACUGGGACUGUGACACGGCCCAGACUCCUACGGGAAGCAGCAGUAGGGGAUCUUCGGCAAUGGGGGGAACCCUGACCGGGCAACGCCGCGGUAGUGAAGAAGGUUUUCGGAUCGGAAAGCUCUGUUGUUAAGGAAGCGGUACUUAACCAGAAAGGGACGGCUAACUACGUGCCAGCAGCCGCGGUAAUAC